AUCAUUAGCAAAUUUAGCUUUUUUGUUUUGUUUUUUUUAUUUGUUUUUUUUUUUGUUAGGCAGUUCACAACAUUUGGAAAGGUACGGGAAUAUGUUUUGCGAGCAUUCAAGUUGAGUGAAAGUGUUUUUCUUUCUUCUUAGUAAGAGCACUUUGUCAGUUAAUAAGAGAAAAAUGAUUCCGUGUGCAGAAUAAGUUUUUUUUUUUUUUCCCCUGUUGUGCGGGUAUUGUUUGCAUUAUCUCCUAAAAGCGACUACACGCUCAUUUAUGUGUAUAUAUAUAUAUAUAUAUAUAUAUUCUCAUAUCCUUUCAUGCGACAUGUAAAAAUGACACUUGUACAACAGUGUCAAUUUAGUGUCACUUCAACAUACAGCUUUGAAUGUCGAAAUGAAAGGCAAGAAAAAGUAAAUAGACCCCUUAGCGAAACACUCGAAAUUGGGCCCAAUUAGCCAUUAUAGCUGCCCGGUGUCAUGUGACACCGUGUGUGUUUCAGGUGCAUUGAAUUGGGGUUGUCACACUCAUACUGGUCACUGGAAGUUCAGUAUGCCACCUCAUUAAAUGACUUCAAUUUAACUUUUUUGCUUGAAGUACAUUUCGGAGUGGAAUCAGUACUUUUUCUUGAACCGGAGUCUUUUUCUGUCACUUCUACUUAAGUGCAGAGCGUGACUCUCAUGUCACGUGUCAGGGUGAGGACACGUUUGUUUUGUCGAGCAAAACGGCAGCCCCGCUGUUCACGAUUGAGUCCGACGUGGAGAUUUACGGCCUGUCUCUCGAGGUCUCGUGUAUGGCUUCCAGAUAGGCGGAUAUGAUUACAUAUCUGCGAUAAAGUGCUUCGCAGAACGCUUGUCAAAGAAUGCAAUUUAGCAUUUUGGCGUUGACGGACAAGCCGAACCAACCGAGCCACCUUCUCGAAAAUGCCCCCGCCCCCCCCGCCUGCCGGCAGAAAAAAAUGGUUCAUUGUGAUGGCGGCAUGCGAGGCCUGCUUGUAGUUAGCGCCGCAUGUGAAACGCUUACCUUCCUCCAGGGGUUGCAGCUGGAGCUGGUUUCCUGUCUGGGGGGAGGGUUUCUUGUUUCUUGUUUCUUGUUUCUUGUUUCUUUGCCCUGCUCUGAUUGGGCCACGCUGAGCCUUGAUGGUUAAGAACGGCCAAACGGUGGUCGGUCCAUCAGCCGCGCGCACGUUUAAAACAAAAACCCCAUGCGGACGGGCGAUUAUGAUUGGCGCAAGGAGCCAAUGAGGCAGCUCGAUAAAAUCUCUGACAAGCUAUCUGAAACCCAAAAGUUUGGACAUUCACAAUUGGCAUCCAAUGUUAUUUUAAAGUAACGGCUGUGUUUGAGUCACUUCGAGUUCCAGUUUGAGCAUUGUUUGUUGUUUUUCUAUAAUUACGUGUAAUGGUCCCAUUACAGCAUAGCAGCAGUAGUGGUUGAAUUUAUAAUAGUACAUAAUGCCUGUUAUUACAGGAAUGAGGCAAUAGCUCCGUAUCAACUGCAAUUCAAAUACGCUACGUCGUCGGCGGUUUUUGGUUUUUGGAAACGAGUUGAUAUGAGGAUAUCACGAAGGCUUUCGUUAACGUAUGCUAGGUGAAGACUGUUCGAGUUUAGAUGAGUAACCCGUUUAUCGGCCCAGGCCUAAUCUGCAAUAUACAGAGACCCAUUUAAAACAAAAACAAUGGUUUUAAAAUGUUUACCCCGCGCAUACUUAAAACACAUUGAGACUUCUUAAAGCACACUUUUUACAGAGUGCAAUUGUAUUUGAACACCAAAACAAACAAACUGCAAGCACAGAAUGUAUAUUUAAUAUUGUACUGUCUGCGUGUCUUCAUUUAAGAGGCGGGACCUGUGAGUGUGUCUUGUUGCGAGCCGCAUUCAAGAAACGACUGCAUCAGUCAGCGACUGUCGCUGUCCUUCACCGCAUGCGAGGGCAUUACACUAAAUAAGUAAAAAGCUAUUCAAAACAAUCGGUCGAAGACUCAUUAAGUGGCAAACCCACUUUUAUAGAAUUCAAACCAAACACAUCCUUUUAGAAAUGAAUACAGGUACAAUACGUGAUCAUUCGGAGCGUUCGCCAUGGGCCCUUUUCUGUUCCAUUGUAACUUCCUGUUGUGGCCACACGUCCUAAUACUUUGGCCUUCCUGGUAUAUCAUCCGCAAAACCGGCGAACCGGCCCCGGUGUAAAAAGCAAACAUUGUCCGAAAGCCUGACUCGCGCUAUCCGAAGUAUCACGGUUAGCGCCACUGCCCGGCAGCACGCCUUCAACGUCUCGAAGUGCGUGUUGAUUUUUGCUUCUCUGCUUUUCGAGCUGGCUUCUCUCUACCCGAGGCCUCCAAUUUCCUGCCGCGGCGCCAUCACGCCAGGCCGCGCUGACAGCAGCUUUUAUAGAGCCGCCGAAGAGAGCCAGUGACGGCCCGUGCUCGAAAACAGAGGCCACGUAACAGACGGCGGAAUGAGGCUGUGCGUUGAUCAGACCGAAGCGACAAAUUGAGAGAGAUGUGGUCCUCCAUGUUUUAUAUCAAGACGGACCUUCUGUGUGCUCCAAUUCCAGAGUGAUGCAGAGUUUAUUCUAAUACUGUCAAUAGGGUUUGUUUUUGGGAAAACAAGAAGAAAAGCAACAACAAAUUGAACAAAGAGGAAGAGUCCAGUUGCCUCGAUUGAACCUUUGCUGAUGCCGUGACCGGGACGGCUGAGAAUCUGCACAUGUUCUUUGUUGUCGUCCCCAUGAAGUAUUAUUCUUUUCAUCCAAUAUUUUACGUUUAAUGUGUAUAAUAUCACAAUUCAUUCUGCCAAUUAUUUCCACAAUGUUUUUACAUUUUCAAAUUGUAUCUAAAUAGCUCACAUUAUUACGCUGUUCAUUUUGUCACAGAUUUGUCAUGACAUUUUUGUUUUCAUAAUUGUUAUUAUUGCAUUCUAUCAACGUAUUUUCAUUGCACAUUAUAGUUGCAGUAUUUGACAAAAAAAAGUCGAUUUAUUUUCGAUUUGACCAUUUCCGUCUUAUUACUGGAUCCAUUACUGGAUGAUAUUAAAUGAAAAGUGUAAGUUAUGAAUGUGCACGUGAACGUCCGCGUGUCCACAUGUGCCCCGACGAUUGGCCGGCGACCAGCCCAGGAGGGCGUACGGCCUUUCUCUCGCCCCAAAGUCAGCCGGGAUCGGCUCCAGCUUACUUGCCGCGCUAAUGAGGGCGAGCGCUAUCGAGCACGGAUGGAUGACAAUAAAUGGCUGUUUCAAAGUGAUGACAGGCUUCGGUAUGUCAGUGCGCGCAUGCUAGCAAGAACAAGAAUACGCCGUAACCUUUGUACAGCUUUGUGUCGAGGAGCACACGUUGCGUCCUUAUGAACUGGAACGGGGCGAUAUGUCAAAUGUGGAGCGCACAUGAAAUAUUUGGAGUAUUCAGGAAGUAACACUUUGGAGUGUUGGCUGAUGAAUGACGCUGGAAGGUUCCACGUACAGCUUCUCUUCCUGCUCUUUGUCACUCCACUGUCGCCAUUGGAAAAUCUUGAUGAACUGAACAGGCCGUGUUUGAAGUUGCAUUCUUAACUGUCGUUUAAGAAAGUGACUUUAAUGUUGCGGGGACGACUGUGCAAACGGAAGAUUGCCGUGCGUUUGCCUAAGUCUCUCGAGAUUUGCCGAAGUCUCACGUGACAGGUGCGGGCUAUGACGCUUUCGUGCAAUUCUACUUCAGGGCCUUGGGGGGGGGAAAAAAAAAAAAAGGUCCGAAUAAUGUUUUGAACCAAUGUAGCAUUUCAUAGUACUGCCCCCACCCCCGUUGUCUGACUCACUGGAAAUUCCCCCAUCGUCGGCGUCCAUCUUGGAGAGGGUCAGGCAGUCAGGGUUUGGCCUCCCUCCAUCGCUGAGUCUUUCCUCUUCGGCUCAUCUCAUUCCCGACGCCGGCUCCGAAUCCACCACUAACGUCCUUUAAGAGAUAACACACAUGAAACACUUUACCAUUUGAUCACGAUUGAAAAACAAGCUAGCGAGUCUUUCGCUUACAAAAAGAUGGUCCAUACCGACUGCGGCUGAGACUUCCCAACUUUUGUAAUGUGAAACAUUUCAACAUAACGCUCCACCUUUUUAAUCACAAUAGACAAGCGAGCUAGCCACCUCGUCCUUUGAAUCCAAAAAGUUGGCCAAUAGCGACGCCAGCGUAGCAAAGCAUUAAAACAUGACACACAUACACAAGUGACAAAACGUUACUUUGGAUUUGUAACAUUACUAUGUAUUUUUUGGAUGGUCAAUAUCAGCUUUUUUUUGGUUUUUGCUUUUUGCUUUGCUUCUUGUCUGUUUGAGUUUCACGUUGGCAGUGUUGAUCGGACGGCUUCAAGCCACACCCUUUUUGUCUUCCCAUUCCUAUGAGCUCAUCCUUGUCGUGCGAGCGCUCAGCCUUUUCGAAACAGUCUGGUGAUCUGCACUACGGCACACCGGACUCCGGCUCCGGCCGCACGCGUUUCGGACACAUUCAAGUUCUCGCCUCCCGAAAAUCCGAUCGCUGGCCUGAAAUGUUGGCACUGGCUGGGUGGCGUUUGUUCAGUGGCCCUACAAAGCCAACACGACGACAAUGAAUGAUGAGUCACCUCAGUGGCUUGACACGCCGUAUUUUGCACUGAAUGCGCAUUGUUUAGCCUAAAUUUAAGAGUAGUGUGGCCUUUAUGGUGAAAGGCUAUUGUUUACAUUUUGUGAAGCCUCCCUCCUCAAAAGAAAGUUACAUUGCUACUCUCUUAUUCUUGUAAAAAGAAAACCUGCUUUGUAAGAACAUCAAGUGUACGCGUAAAGUACCGUACUGCUCAGAAUUAGGAUGAAAUGCUUUAUGGUAAAUCUAAUCAAAUAUAUGACUAAGAUGCCAUAUUUUUGUUUAAUAUUUCUCUAUUUUUCAUCUGAUAUUGUAUUUUGGUCUAUUUAUCGUUGUUUUUAUUUAAUUAUUUGUGUCUAUCAUCCAAUAUUUAAAGUAUGUCUAACAAUUUUUAAUGGAAUAUUUUUCUUCCUAAUAUUUUUUUCUUCUUUUCUAAUGUGUGUAGCAGUGCAUAUUUUUCCUCCAGCAUCAUAG